rnacentral:tRNA from 1 species
AAUUGGUUGGCAGAUAAAUGCACCUGAUUUAGGCUCAGCCCAUGGAAAUUUAUUCCACCAAUUA